GCGCAGAGAGCAUCAUGAAGAACAAGGAACAAAUUAGAUUGUGUUUAGAUUGCCUUACAAAUAUGUGUAGAAAAGGCUGGAUGUUAUAUAACACGUGCAUUCAUUUCUUUAGGGCCCAAAACCCCACAAAAAUCUACUCCAAGACACCAGAAAACCUGUGCCAGUGCCACUAAGAAGCAAAACUGCCCUGCAAGCCAUCAGAAUUUCAGAAUCUCCUUUUGUGAGAUCCUGUCACAUCUGCUCCUGCUCCUCCCCUCCGGCAUACGACGUCUCCAGAGUACUAACCACCGGUCCUGGGAUUCAUCAUCAUGCACGCCUGGCAUUCAUCAUUACUCACACCUGUGAAUCAUUAUGAUCAUUAUGAUCAUUAUGAUUCACACCUGGACUCCAUUACCUUCAUAAUUUCCUCUCCUUUAUAUGUUACUCUGCCAUGUUCACUCACCAGUUGGUAUUGUUCUUGUGUAUCAGCGUAUUGCCUGAUGUUAGUGGCUUGUUCUUGGUUUUGUUGUUUUAUUAAAACGUUUCACCUGC